rnacentral:rRNA from 1 species
AAGCUUGCUUCUUUGAUGCUUAGCGGCGGACGGGUGAGUAACACGUAGGCAACCUGCCCUCAAGCUUGGGACAACUACCGGAAACGGUAGCUAAUACCGAAUACAUGAUUUGUUCGCCUGAACGAAUUUGGAAAGACGGAGCAAUCUGUCACUUGAGGAUGGGCCUGCGGCGCAUUAGCUAGUUGGUGAGGUAACGGCUCACCAAGGCGACGAUGCGUAGCCGACCUGAGAGGGUGAUCGGCCACACUGGGACUGAGACACGGCCCAGACUCCUACGGGAGGCAGCAGUAGGGAAUCUUCCGCAAUGGACGCAAGUCUGACGGAGCAACGCCGCGUGAGUGAUGAAGGUUUUCGGAUCGUAAAGCUCUGUUGCCAGGGAAGAACGUCCGAUAGAGUAACUGCUAUCGGAGUGACGGUACCUGAGAAGAAAGCCCCGGCUAACUACGUGCCAGCAGCCGCGGUAAUACGUAGGGGGCAAGCGUUGUCCGGAAUUAUUGGGCGUAAAGCGCGCGCAGGCGGCUUUUUAAGUCCGGUGUCACAGCCCAAGGCUCAACCUUGGGUCGCACUGGAAACUGGAGAGCUUGAGUACAGAAGAGGAAAGUGGAAUUCCACGUGUAGCGGUGAAAUGCGUAGAGAUGUGGAGGAACACCAGUGGCGAAGGCGACUUUCUGGGCUGUAACUGACGCUGAGGCGCGAAAGC